rfam:Paenibacillus sp. HGF7 contig00013, whole genome shotgun sequence.
GCGUUUUUAUCGCUGAGUUUCCGUGUGAAGCGGAAAACGGGGGAACCAACGAGGACUUGCAGGCCUGACGGCCAGUCCUCAUGGGGUGAAUCCAGAAGCGGCAUCCGUGCCGUCAUGGUAGGGCGACUCUCACGCCCGAAUCCGACAGCUAACCUCGUAAGCGUACCGAGAGAGGCGAC